CUAGAUGUGCGCUCGACUUAGCGCUCGAGCAGAACCCAUCCAGAGAGGUUCGCUUGAUGUGCGCUUGACUUAGCACUCGAGCGGAACCCAUCCAGAGAGGUUCGCUCGAUGUGCGCUCGACGUGGCGCUCGAGCAGAACUCAUCCAGAGAAGUUCGCUCGACGUCUCGCUCGAGCGAUUUCAGAAGACAACGUGCGCUCGACCUUCGCUCGACACCUCACUCGAGCCAAUGUUCAAGACAACCUAAAAUUCAUGAUUUUGAGCGCCGUGUCUUGCUGAGACUAUAAAUAGAAUAGCUUAUUUCUGUUCUUUGGUGUGGAGAAACAGA